rnacentral:rRNA from 1 species
GACGAACGCUGGCGGCGUGCUUAACACAUGCAAGUCGAACGGAAAGGCCCUGCUUUUGUGGGGUGCUCAAGUGGCGAACGGGUGAGUAACACGUGAGUAACCUGCCCUUGACUUUGGGAUAACUUCAGGAAACUGGGGCUAAUACCGGAUAGGAGCUCCUGCUGCAUGGUGGGGGUUGGAAAGUUUCGGCGGUUGGGGAUGGACUCGCGGCUUAUCAGCUUGUUGGUGGGGUAGUGGCUUACCAAGGCUUUGACGGGUAGCCGGCCUGAGAGGGUGACCGGCCACAUUGGGAAUGAGACAAGGCCCAGACGCCUACGGGAGGCAGCAGUGGGGAAUAUUGAACAAUGGGCGGAAGCCUGAUGCAGCAACGCCGCGUGCGGGAUGACGGCCUACGGGUUGUAAACCGCUUUCGCCUGUGACGAAGCGUGAGUGACGGUAAUGGGUAAAGAAGCACCGGCUAACUACGUG